rnacentral:rRNA from 1 species
CAGCCGCCGCGGGAAUACGGAGGGAGCUAGCGUUGUUCGGAAUUACUGGGCGUAAAGCGCGCGUAGGCGGUUACUCAAGUCAGAGGUGAAAGCCCGGGGCUCAACCCCGGAACUGCCUCUGAAACUAGGUGACUAGAAUCUUGGAGAGGUCAGUGGAAUUCCGAGUGUAGAGGUGAAAUUCGUAGAUAUUCGGAAGAACACCAGUGGCGAAGGCGACUGACUGGACAAGUAUUGACGCUGAGGUGCGAAAGCGUGGGGAGCAAACAGGAUUAGAUACCCCAGUAGUCCCUGUCUCUUAUAC